GACGAACGCUGGCGGCGUGCUUAACACAUGCAAGUCGAACGGAAAGGCCCUGCUUUUGUGGGGUGCUCGAGUGGCGAACGGGUGAGUAACACGUGAGUAACCUGCCCUUGACUUUGGGAUAACUUCAGGAAACUGGGGCUAAUACCGGAUAGGAGCUCCUGCUGCAUGGUGGGGGUUGGAAAGUUUCGGCGGUUGGGGAUGGACUCGCGGCUUAUCAGCUUGUUGGUGGGGUAGUGGCUUACCAAGGCUUUGACGGGUAGCCGGCCUGAGAGGGUGACCGGACACAUUGGGACUGAGAUACGGACCAGAAUCCUACGGGAGGCAGCAGUGGGGAAUAUUGCACAAUGGGCGGAAGCCUGAUGCAGCAACGCCGCGUGCGGGAUGACGGCCUUCGGGUUGUAAACCGCUUUCGCCUGUGACGAAGCGUGAGUGACGGUAAUGGGUAAAGAAGCACCGGCUAACUACGUG
rnacentral:rRNA from 1 species